rnacentral:rRNA from 1 species
GUGCAGCAGGCGAAAAUCUUCCACAAUGGACGAAAGUCUGAUGGAGCGACGCCGCGUGCGGGAUGAAGGCCUUAUGGGUUGUAAACCGCUGUCAGGGGGGAAGAACAUCGGAAUGAACAAUACUCAUUCCGACUGACGUUACCCCCAGAGGAAGCUCCGGCCAACUCCGUGCCAGCAGCCGCGGUAAUACGGGGGGAGCAAGCGUUGUCCGGAAUUAUUGGGCGUAAAGGGCGUGUAGGCGGCGAGGUAAGUCGAAUGUGAAAUCUCACGGCUCAACCGUGAAACUGCGUUCGAAACUACCCUGCUUGAGUACGGGAGAGGUGUACGGAA